UACAGAGGGUGCAAGCGUUAAUCGGACUUACUGGGCGUAAAGGGCGCGUAGGCGGCACUUUAAGUUAGAUGUGAAAGACCUGGGCUUAACCGAGGGAUUGCAUUUAAAACUGGAGAGCUAGAGUAUGAUAGAGGGAAGUGGAAUUUUCAGUGUAGCGGUGAAAUGCGUAGAUAUUGGAAAGAACACCAGUGGCGAAGGCGACUUUCUGGAUUGCUACUGACGCUGAGGCGCGAAAGCAUGGGGAGCGAACAGG
rnacentral:rRNA from 1 species